GACGCUGGCGGCAGGCUUAACACAUGCAAGUCGAGCGGGGUGAUGGUGCUUGCACUAUCACCUAGCGGCGGACGGGUGAGUAAUGCUUAGGAAUCUGCCUAUUAGUGGGGGACAACAUUUCGAAAGGAAUGCUAAUACCGCAUACGUCCUACGGGAGAAAGCAGGGGAUCUUCGGACCUUGCGCUAAUAGAUGAGCCUAAGUCGGAUUAGCUAGUUGGUGGGGUAAAGGCCUACCAAGGCGACGAUCUGUAGCGGGUCUGAGAGGAUGAUCCGCCACACUGGGACUGAGACACGGCCCAGACUCCUACGGGAGGCAGCAGUGGGGAAUAUUGGACAAUGGGCGCAAGCCUGAUCCAGCCAUGCCGCGUGUGUGAAGAAGGCCUUAUGGUUGUAAAGCACUUUAAGCGAGGAGGAGGCUACUUUAGAUAAUACCUAGAGAUAGUGGACGUUACUCGCAGAAUAAGCACCGGCUAACUCUGUGCCAGCAGCCGCGGUAAUACAGAGGGUGCAAGCGUUAAUCGGAUUUACUGGGCGUAAAGCGCGCGUAGGCGGCUAAUUAAGUCAAAUGUGAAAUCCCCGAGCUUAACUUGGGAAUUGCAUUCGAUACUGGUUAGCUAGAGUGUGGGAGAGGAUGGUAGAAUUCCAGGUGUAGCGGUGAAAUGCGUAGAGAUCUGGAGGAAUACCGAUGGCGAAGGCAGCCAUCUGGCCUAACUACUGACGC
rnacentral:rRNA from 2 species